rnacentral:rRNA from 1 species
UACGUAGGCAGCAAGCGUUGUUCGGAGUUACUGGGCGUAAAGGGUGUGUAGGCGGUUCUUUAAGUGUGGUGUGAAAUCUCCCGGCUCAACUGGGAGGGUGCGCCGAAUACUGAGGGACUAGAGUACGGGAGAGGAAAGUGGAAUUCCUGGUGUAGCGGUGAAAUGCGUAGAUAUCAGGAGGAACACCGGUGGUGUAGACGGCUUUCUGGACCGACACUGACGCUGAGACACGAAAGCGUGGGUAGCAAACAGG